AUCUUCAAGCAAAAGCUCAAACGUGCUUCAUUUCUCAAUCAAGGCUCAAGGAACAUACCUAAAAGAUUACGAUGGAAGCAAGGAGAAUGAGGAACUAACAACAGCAGCAAUAGAACCAGGCUCAGAACCAAUAAAACAAUACUAAAACCAAGGUAGCUCAAACCUAAAAUCCAAUGGAACAGUAACCCAAUCAGCAAACUUAAACCAGUUCUUGUCAACACCCAAAUUCAGUUCAUUUUCAACCCCAAGUGAAUCAAAAAUUCUUUCAAAAAUUAAAAGCUUUAGAAAUCACAGAUGAAGACCAAUGGAACAGUAUUAUUUUUGAAGUCUCCUAGCUAUUUGUUUGAGAGUGUUUCUCUAUUUUUUC
rnacentral:lncRNA from 1 species